rnacentral:rRNA from 1 species
UAGUAACUGCGAGUGAAGCGGGAAAAGCUCAAAUUUAAAAUCUGAUGGCCCUUGGCCGUCCGAGUUGUAAUCUAGAGAAGCGUCUUCCGCGCUGGACCGUGCACAAGUCUCCUGGAAUGGAGCGUCAUAGAGGGUGAGAAUCCCGUCUUUGGCACGGAUGCACCAGGGCUUCCGUGAUGCGCUCUCGAAGAGUCGAGUUGUUUGGGAAUGCAGCUCAAAAUGGGUGGUGAACUCCAUCUAAAGCUAAAUAUUGGCGAGAGACCGAUAGCGAACAAGUACCGUGAGGGAAAGAUGAAAAGCACUUUGGAAAGAGAGUGAAACAGUACGUGAAAUUGUUGAAAGGGAAACGCUUGAAGUCAGUCGCGUCGACCGAGACUCAGCCUUGCCCUUGGCUUGGUGUACUUCUCGGCUGACGGGUCAGCAUCAAUUUUGCCCCUCGGAUAAUGGCAGGGGAAAGGUGGCACCUUUACGGGUGUGUUAUAGUCUCCUGUCGCAUGCGAGGGUCGGGAUUGAGGAACUCAGCACGCGCCUCUCGGUGUCGGGGCCUUUUGGCCCACGCUUACGUGCUUAGGAUGCUGGCGUAAUGGCUUUAAACGACCCGUCUUGAAA